rnacentral:lncRNA from 1 species
UUCAUUCAGGAAUGCGAAGGAGAGAGCCGUGGCUUAGGAGGCUGAUGAUUCUGCUGCUGCGGCGGAGAUUGUCCAAGGAGGAUCACGACACAAGAGACUCCCCCUUUUGAGCGGCCUCCUUGCAGCUCAGCUUUCCACAUCGGCGUCCAGACAAAAAUUCUGACUAUGUGGACAGUCUUGCGCAGAAAAAAAUGGCGGAGGACAACAACUUGUGGCAAAAAUACGAAGUGCGGUGAGGGUGCCAUGCCACUCCGCGGCCCCAGCCUGCUGAGCUGAGUGGGGACACACGGA